CAGCAGUCGCCGCGGUAAUACGAAGGGGGCUAGCGUUGUUCGGAUUUACUGGGCGUAAAGCGCACGUAGGCGGAUCGAUCAGUCAGGGGUGAAAUCCCAGAGCUCAACUCUGGAACUGCCUUUGAUACUGUCGAUCUGGAGUAUGGAAGAGGUGAGUGGAAUUCCGAGUGUAGAUGUGAAAUUCGUAGAUAUUCGGAGGAACACCAGUGGCGAAGGCGGCUCACUGGUCCAUUACUGACGCUGAGGUGCGAGAGCGUGGGGAGCAAACAGGAUUAGAUACCCCCGUAGUCCCUGUCUCUUAUAC
rnacentral:rRNA from 1 species